GGGAAUAUUUCGCAAUGGAGGAAACUCUGACGCAGUGACGCCGCGUAUAGGAAGAAGGUUUUCGGAUUGUAAACUAUUGUCGUUAGGGAAGAGAAAGGACAGUACCUAAGGAGGACGCCACGGCUAACUACGUGCCAGCAGCCGCGGUAAUACGUAGGGAGCAAGCGUUAUCCGGAAUUAUUGGGUGUAAAGGGUGCGUAGACGGGAAAACAAGUUAGUUGUGAAAUCCCUCGGCUUAACUGAGGAACUGCAACUAAAACUAUUUUUCUUGAGUGCAGGAGAGGUAAGUGGAAUUCCUAGUGUAGCGGUGAAAUGCGUAGAUAUUAGGAGGAACACCAGUGGCGAAGGCGACUUACUGGACUGUAACUGACGUUGAGGCACGAAAGUGUGGGGAGCAAACAGG
rnacentral:rRNA from 1 species